CAAGCUCGCUUCUAUGGGU
rnacentral:miRNA from 1 species